GAUAGCCACAGGUUGGGGGCGCUCUCUGAAUCUGAGUAGUACUCGGAAAAUGGGUGGAUAAAUCACAGUUUUCCCCCACACCAUAGUCAAAGAAAACCUCCAAGUCUCCAAGAUGACCUUCAAAACACUGCUAGGAUCAUUCACUCGACUCUGUGCCCAGAUAAAAGAGCAAGCACACAGGAGAGAAGUCGGAGGCAGGAGGAGGGUGAGGGAACGGACGGCCCGACGGAGGCUGAGCAGAGAUCACAGCGGAGCAGGAACCAGCAGCUGUAGAAGACAAAACAACAGCAAAGAAACCUCUGCCAAAUCCACCUAAUUCCAUCUGCCCAAAUCCAGCGUGAAGCUUUUUCCUGCCUGUGCGCAGAGUGAGCAGAUAAAGGCAGCGGACAGGAAAGUGGUUGAAAGGAUCCGGAGGGUUCCCGGAGGUAAACACCAGCAGGCAGGGAGGUCUUCCCCCUACAGCUCUCCUGAAGCGUGCCUGUGCCUCUCCGGCUGCAGCUGUCAGAUGUCCUUUCGCUGGGUGACUGCGUCUGACUGCGCAGUCUGACUGCAGCCCACACUGCAGGUUGAGAGAGAGAGAGAGGUGUGGCGGGUGGCACAGGCGUGCGUCUGCCCGCUAAUCCCACGCUCAGCAGUCAGCCUCACACUUGAUAAGGGUCAAACUGAGACUUGGCCCAGCCAGGCAGGCCUGCGCUGGCAGGACCCAGGAAAGCAUGUUGGCCAAAUGCCCUUCUGCUCAUGAGCAAGUGUGUGAGUGUGUGUGUGGGCGUGUGUUUCUCUGGGAGUCUGUGCUGGGUUGCCAGUUUAUUGUUGUCCACCUACUCCGUGCUUGCAAACACUGGCCAUGUAAAGAGAUACACCCACAGUGUCGUACAGGUGCAGUUUGUACGUUUAUUAUGCCGACUGGAUUGGGGGUUGAUUACAUAAUGCAAAAAAAAAAAAAAAAAGAUGUCAUCCACCCCCAUUUUGCAUGUUACUUAAAAAAAAAAAAGACAAAGAAAAAGACAUGCAGACUGUAGUUCUUUAUGUACUUUUAAUGCAGUCCAGAAGUAAUGAUGCUGAGGCGUUUAAAAACUCCAGCAGCAGCACUUUUAGUGUGUUACAAUUUUACUUAAUUUAACUUUAACUUUACUUAAUUAACUUUCUAAAAGGUUACAUGAUACAUUGCACUUUUUUUGCACAGUUGUUUUUAACACAUUUUUUUCAUAUUUGUAAAUAAGU